CCCGCCCCUCCCUCCGCCCCGUCGCGGAUUUUUGGAUGCCUCCAGAGCACCUGCAAUCCGACGGAAGCGCGAGUGAAGCCGGAGCCUCUCCAGAGGCACAUCUCACGCGGAGGCCAUCGGUGACUUGGAGGCAGAGCUCUGAAAUUCGGACGUCCAUAGCAAGCUUGAAGAAAAGAACCUGACGAACAUAAAAGGUUCUCCUCCAUUUCCCUCUCUGAGAAUCUUUAAUUGACAACAUUAGAUUUCACAAUAUAAUGGUCAAAAUUGGCUCUCUGGGUGAAUAUUCUCCAUUGAUAACAUUGGAUUUCAUAUUGCAAUGGUUAGAGUUGCUUCUCUUGAUGAAUCCAUAUCCCUAAUGAAUUUGAUUUAUUAUACUAUGAUUCUCUGAAUGGUACAUCCAUUGGUUACUGUCAUCUUGGAAACCUUGCUUACAUAUCUCAUGAAUUCAAGAUUACAACCAUACUGCAAUUAAGUCCGUAUAAUGGUUUUUAGCUUUUGAGUUUUAGAAGCCCUGCUUACACAUUUGCUUGAAUAUAAUGUGAUCUCUGGUUAGAUCUAGGUUUCUUUUUUUAUUGUUGGAUAGAACUAUUUAUACACAUAUAGUUGCUUCUCUCGGUGAAUCCAUAUCUCUUUUGAAUUUGAUUUAUUAUACUAUGAUUCUCUGAAUGGUACAUCCAUUGGUUAGUGUCAUCUUGGAAACCCUGCUUACAUAUCUUAUGAAUUCAAGAUUUCAACCAUGCUGCAAUUAAGCCCGUAUAAUGGUUUUUAGCUUUUGAGUUUUAGAGGCCCUGCUUACACAUUUGCUUGCAUAUAAUGUGAUCUCUGGUUAGAUUUAGGUUUCUUUUUUUAUUGUUGGAAAGAACUAUUUAUACACAUAUAGUUGCUUCUCUUGGUGAAUCCAUAUCUCUAUUGAAUUUGAUUUAUUGUACUACGAUUUUCUAAAUGGUACAUCCAAUAGUUAGUGUUAUAUUGGAAACCCUGCUUACAUAUCUCAUGAAUUCAAGAUUUCAACAUGAUUAUUUUUGUAAUGUCUGAAUAUUUUUUGUGCUCAUGUUAUAUGUAGCUGCAAAGUUUGCCAAAAUUCUUAUUUUCUGUUGACAAUUUGUUGGUUAGACCAAAAAUUUGUCUCUUCAUAAAAAAUCAGUACUAAGCAAUCUGAGAAGCAUAUUAUCUUUCAUUUCUAUGUGCUAUUCCUUGGUUGAAGGUGUGUGAAUGAUCCCAAGAAAACUGUAUAGACCCUAAAACAUUUGUUUUUGCAAGUAGGUUUGCAUCUUAGCUCUCAGCUUUUGAAACUGUAAGUUCCACUAAAGAAAACCUGCAUUCGAAGCUGAAAUGAACUAAGCAUUUCUCCACAAAAAAAAAUAUUUUCCAUGUUGGUAAAUGGAUCUGCCCUUUUCUGUCAAGUUCCUGACUAAAAAUGGGCACAGGAAACUUAUCACAUGACAUCUAUUCAUCUUUCAGCUGUUGUAACCCAAUUACUUAGUAGAUAAAUAUCUUUCUUUAGUGUCAUCUUGGAAACCCUGCUUACAUAUCUCAUGAAUUCAAGAUUUCAACAUGAUUAUUUUUUGUAAUGUCUGAAUAUUUUUUGUGCUCAUGUUAUUUGUAGCUACAAAGUUUGGCAAAAUUCUUAUUUGCUGUUGACAAUUUGUUGGUUAGACCAAAAAUUUCUCUCUUCAUAAAAAAUCAGUACUAAGCAAUCUGAGAAGCAUGUUAUCUUUCAUUUCCAUGUACUAUUCCUUUGUGUGGAUGAUAAAAAAAAAACUGUAUAAACCCUAAAAUAUUUGUUUUUCCUAAUAGUUUUGCAUCUUAGCUCUCAGCUUCUGAAACUGUAAGUUCCACUAAAGAAAACCUGCAUUUGAAGCUGAAAUGAACUAAGCGUUUCCUCAGAAAAAUAUUUUCCAUGUUGGUAAAUGGAUCUAUUCAUCUUUCAGCUGUUGUAACCCAAUUACUUGGUAGAUAAAUAUCUUUGUUUACGGAAAAAUGAGUAUAUGCAACAUUGUUGUUUCUUAGGUAAUUGGGUUGUUGCUAUUGGGAACAACACACACAUGGUAUUAGUGCAUAGUUUUGCAACUUUGUUAGUCCAAGUUUUCUCAAAAAGUUUGCAUAUAGAUGUCCCAAAUGCUUUGGAAACAAUACCGAACCUAUGUACGUUUUCUUUACCAAAUAUCUAUAAUAUAAUUGUGUUAUGUUCUUCUUUGUCAUAAUAAUAGUACCCUCUUUGUUAAUAAACAAGUACCGGAUUACUAUCAUUGCAGGAGACCCGAAUAAUAUUAUAGAAGCUAAUGCACCUACCAUAAAAAUUGUUUUCUUUGGAAACAUUGGUGAACAACUCACAGGAAUCAUUGCACUUCAUCUAGCAGCAACAACAGAAGCAAACAAUGGCUCAAUCCCCUCAGAAAUAACGCGUUUAUAUAAUCACAAAUAUACCUUAAGACUCACUGUCCCAUUCUCAUACAUGCAGAGAGAUACUAUAUCAUUCCAAGUAAAAAAUAUUGUUGCUAUGGGUGGUCCUAUCGGAUCUAUAUUUUCUACACCUUCAGACCCACAAGGUCAUCAAGAUAGUUCUAUCCAAGUUGUGACAACAAAUUUAACAUCCUCAUCUUCUGAUGUAACAGGUACACACAGCAAGGACACCGCAGGGCAAGAAGAUAAUGCUACAACAUCAUUGCCUUCACCUGGACAAUUACCAACAAUACUAGCAGUAAGUUCUCUUUUUAGUCAUACAAGUGUUUACAUUAUUUCUUAACACUACAAUGAACAUCAACAUUCUUUUCUAUAUUUUUUAUUAACUACAAGAUUCCAACAAGCACAAAUGCACCAACCAAACGGCCAGGUCAUCUUGAAGAUCCAGCUUCAUCAGAUUCUGACACUGCACCAAGGUAACUAUAAACUCUAAAUAACUUUUCUACAUAUUGCUCUCAUUUAUACUUAAUAACAUUCUAAUUAUUUUUUCCCAUUAUA